rnacentral:rRNA from 1 species
GACGAACCGUGCGAACGUUGUUCGGAAUCACUGGGCUUGAAGGGCGCGUAGGCGGGCUGUCAAGUCCGGGGUGAAAUCCUCCCGCUCAACGGGAGAACGGCCUCGGAUACUGACGAUCUCGAGGGGGAUAGGGGCACGCGGAACUGUGGGUGGAGCGGUGAAAUGCGUUGAUAUCCAUAGGAACUCCGGUGGCGAAGGCGGCGUGCUGGAUCCCUUCUGACGCUGAGGCGCGAAAGCCAGGGGAGCAAACGGG